CCGGAACCGCGCGCUCCCGGCCGCCACGGGAGACGGCACCACGAGGGCGUUUGGCGCCAGACGGGGGCUGCCGGGGGCGAGCCAGCAGGCCCUGAGGUAACAGUGAAUACCACGCAAUGGCGCGAGCGACCCUGAACUUAGGGCAGCGCUUUGGAGAGAGGUGGAACCGUUCUGUCCCCGCACAGCUCGAAAACGCUGAAGUAAAAGGGACUGAAAACGAGAAAAAGUAAUCGAGCGCUUCUUUCGAAAAAUGAUAAAUCACGAACCGGCCAUUUCCCAGUAUUUAACACACUUCAGGUGUGUGACGUCUGCGACUGUAAUGGCCACGAAGCUUAAAUACUGAUUUAAGGUGUCUGACUGAACUGCUACUAGGAAUUGAGAAAACUGGCAGAACUCUCCAGAGUGAACAGAAGCAGGUCAGUGGUGCUCCUUCUUGGCGUGUGAUAGAACCCCAACACUGAUGCAGGAAACAAAUAUCUGCUUUCCGUACAUGGGGACCCAGGACGCCAUGCAUGAACAGAGGUCUCCGAACAGGAAGAGUGACAAGGUCAAGACCCUUAGCCCCACCCUGAAUAAGCGAUGUAGAAGACAGAGCUUGAGGAACUCACAAAUGCUUUAUCUCUGCACACCAGGGUUCUCAUAAAUCAGAGCAUUUCCCCCGAAGCAGAGCAUCUAACGAAGGCAGGCAGUACAAAGAUUAUUUGGUCACCCUGAACGCCUAACCAACCCAGGUGCAGCAUCCUCCAAAUACCAAUGAAUUUCUUUUUCCAAACAAUAAAAUCUGCUUCCCUCCUUUCUUAUACUUGAUGGACUUUGCAUAGACAGUUAACCAAGGAAAUACACACUGCACUCCUAUUGAUUGGAAUUAGAAGAAUUCUACGCAUAUUAGCCAAGUCAAAUAGCAAGUUAAACACAUAGUAGAGAUGAAAUGAUAUGGGACCAAGCAAUCAGUUGUUGCAAAGUACCAGCUAAUUUAUGACUCCAGGAGGUGGACACUGACUGGAAGUGAAGAACACUCAGCUUGGAUGCAACAACCUAGAAGCUGUGUCAUCCAGGGCUGGUCUCAUUCCUGUCCCACAUCAGCACAAUGGUGGCCUCUCAGUACUAAGCUAAACUCGAAGCAUGGGUGGGAAUGCUAAGAGUAGAGAUAAUAAAAGUGGACCCUGCUUUCCAGCUAUUUGAAGAUCUGGAGCGCACCCCAAUAUCUUGCUAGAUCUCCGACCUCUGAACUUGGUCUUGGUCCUCAGCUAGGGAAUGUUGUUGGGCUGAAGAGAUAAAGAUUCUUUAAUACCUGCUGCACAGCAAUCCUCCUGCUUAGUGUAGCAAUUGGACUAAAGGGGAAAGAGCAAAGGCUGGCAAGUCGUUAUCUUCAUGUCUGGAUGGCAAGAGAAGGCAUGGUGACUCACUUGACAAAUGUCAUGAAAACGGGAGCCUUGUGUCUAAAGAAAACCCCAUUUUUACGUAUCCUUGCCCUAUUAGAACACAUGAAAGAUAAACAUGAAGGACUUUGCUAGAGCACAUCAUAUAAAAAUCCAAGAUAUUCCUUCAAGUAGGAAAAGUACUGUGCAAAUGAGCUUGGAGCCAGAGAGACCUUUGGGAGAUUGAGUGUGACUUCUUCCCCUCCUGGCUCGUGUCCAGUGCAGGGGCAUAAGGUUCUUGGGCCCUCUGUGUCUUUCCUCACCCUGCAGUUUAAUGGAGAUGAUGAGUCCUAAUAAUAAUAAGAUCUUC
ensembl:lincRNA